rnacentral:tRNA from 1 species
GUUAAAUUGGCAGAAUAGUGCAGUUGAUUUAGGAUCAAAAAAAAGAGUAAUUUAAACCUCUAUUUAACU